rfam:Secondary endosymbiont of Heteropsylla cubana chromosome, complete genome.
GGGGCUGAUUAUGGAUUCGACGAAAUUUACAAAACUCAAGGUGCAUGCCGAGGUGAGGUUGGCCUCGUAAAACAACCUCAAAAAAAAUAAAUGCAAAUGAUUCACAAUUCGAAUCUAAAACUGCUUUAGCAGCUUAAAAUUAAAGAUUCCCUUUCUACCUAGCCUCCGCUCUUAGGACGGGCAAAAAGAAAGGUCAAACCUAAAAAGAGAUCGCGUUGUUAUCUUGCCUGAGAUAACACGUUAAAUUCUAAUAAGGCUAGUUUAUUAUUAGCGUGUCUAUCCGCUGCUAAUAAAUAAAUAUAAAGACUAGACUAAGCAUGUAGUACCAACAGGAAAGAAAUUUCGGACGCGGGUUCAAAUCCCGCCAGCUCCAUAA